CCCAGCUGUAUUCUCUGGUCCUCAGCAUAAGUGCUCCCAAAGUGGAAGACUAUGCUCUUCUUCACCUUGGCGUUCUGCACAACUUCUAGCCCAAUGAGGGCCUGAGAAAUAUUUUUUGAGAAAACUGAGGCUGUGGAAAUGUGACUACAAACUGGAGACCCCCAGAACAUUUCUUUCUGCUGCUUCUAACGGCUUUGCAGCUGUCACCUGGACCUUCCAUCUGCAGCCUAUAGGUGGCAAUGAGAGGUUUCUCUUUGAUGCCUUUUCUUUCCUUCAGGUCUGAUGGUAAUGACAGAUCAUUCAGAAGCAUGCUGUGUUUGGAAUGAAACCAACACAGCCACUGUGUUACAUACACUUCAGUCCCCAUCAAUCUUGGCAGGAUUUUUAUAUGGGGAUUUUAUGACGAAAGGCUUCAUAUCCCAUCACACCUUCCCUGAGCCAUCCACUCCCAGGGGAAUGUACAUCUACAAUUGCAAAGAAAAAAAAAACCCCAAAGCCAAGAAAACCUGCAACAUAUUGUUGUUUCCCGAUGUAGGCAGACUCCCAUUGUUCCUGUCCUGGGCUACACAGACCAGUAGGCCGUUUGGUGUUUGACGUAUCUGCAAUGUAUGUAUUCCAUAUAUUCACAUAUUCGUUUGCACAAAUUACACAAGUAUAUGCAUGCAUAGAGCACCCUGUCCUGGAUACAGGGUGAUAAAUCAUGUAUACACAGAAAUAAAGGAAAAGAAAAGAGAGAAAAAAAUGACCACUAUUUCCACGGCUUUAUGGAUAAGUAUCAUUUGUCUGUCAACAGUGUGGGCAGAAGCAGAGAAUUUUAAAUGAGGUGAGAUAUGGGCCUUUCUAAAUCUUUUGCCUUUUUCGCGUGUGUCCAUUUUGUGAAAUCUGCCUUCUGACAAUCAAGGCCAGUGUGCUAAUUUGCCUAAUUUGGAAUUGGAAGAGAAAUGUGAAAUGAUUUUGAACUUCUCUUGGAAUACAGGAGAAAGGGCCAUCUGUUAGAAUUAACUGGGUGUGCAAAUCCCUUUUGACUCAUCUUCUCUGACACCAGGGUGGAAGAGUAACUGGUUGACCAUAGCGUUGUCUCUAUUCACUGUAAGAAAUAUGCUUUCCCUCUGAGAAGUCCAUCAGUUAAUACAAACAAGGAGAAAGAGAAGGAAUAACUUGGCAGGAAGCUCUGACUCUCCCCCUGCCUUGAUUGAAGAGAUCAUCAAGGCAGGAGCCUGGCUGUAAGGUAUACCUCUCUUCCUCUGAUGAGAGUGACAACCGAGGUGCCUGGAAUCAGAGGGCAGCCUGCUCUCCUUUGGCAAACAAACACCCACUCUGGUAAGUGCCUUUUAAUGUGCAUCAAGUCUUUGUCUAGGAAAAGGAUGCACAGUUGGCAAGUACAGAGCUGUAAGGGGAUAGCUUUGACAUGCUGAUAAAGCUUCUCCGUUUACUUUGGACUUGACUUUAUCAUUUACUGAAGGAUAUUAUUAGUGUGGAGAUGAUAGCCAUUCUCUGACUUCUCGUACGAAAGCCAGUGAAAUGUAUAUGAACAAAAGGUCUGUUAUGGAGAACCUUACCCUGUUUGUUCAGUGACUUUGGGCUCCUAAUCAUACAACUUAAGAGAGAUAAGGCCCGGAGCAGAGGAAAAGAGCCCACCCAGUGUGAGGCCCCCAGGAAGACCAGUGAAAGUCAGUCGUGUUAAAAAUGGAAGCUCCUCCAACUCCGAGCAUGUGUGUCGUUUUCCCUUAUUGUAAAUUUGAUAUUAUAAAAAUAGAUUUGCUCUUUGGAGCCAGAUGGCAUGCAGUACUUCUGAAGUUAAAUGCAGCCUUGCGAUGACAAUGUCCACUGCCAACAAGGAACCACUUGGGACUGUGAUGCCAAACUCUUCAGCUCUUGGUGAGUCCUUUUCAUCAAGUAAGCACUUCUGAACCUGUUUGAGUGCAAAUAGGCUUACAUUCCCCUUGACAACAAUUUUAAUCUUGCUAGAAACAUAUCCUCAUUUAUUAGUCUUGAUGGAAUUUAUGGAUUUUACUUAUGUUUUUGUUUUUCAUCUGUCUCAUUCUUGUCUGAAACAAAUAAUUAAGAACACAUAAAUAAUAACCUUGGCACUGAUCAUCAAUUAGCUGCUGGUUGUACAACAUGAGCUUACUGCUCAUUUUCUGAUGGUCUCAUUGAUUGACUGAUUGAUUGAUGUGUCCAUUCAUUCAGCAAAGUCUGCGAUGGAAUCGUGGGAUCUGGUGUGGAAAGACAUGACUUGGACUCAGUAAGACGUGGAAUUUAACAGCUUUGUCAUCUUUACAGCUUUCUAGUUUCUCUUUCUUAUAUGAAAUAUAAUAAUAAUAGUUAUGAUACCUAAAAUACCCUUUGUAAAAUUGAUUUAUAAACUUGGAGGCACCAAGCAAAUGCUUUUACUCUCAUAGGCUGGAACUAUUACUGGAAUAUUGUGUAAGUGAAUAAGCAUAUUUUAAGCAUCUAUUCUAAGUUGAAGACAAAGUGAUGAGUUUUGUAGAUAAAAAGAUUAAUCUUAUGGAGAUCCUAUGCUUAAGAAGGUUAAAGUUUAGAAGAAAAUCAUUUAGUCUUCAAGAAGACAAGAACCUAGUCAUAGACUAAUUUUUAAAUAUUUAUUCAAUUUUUUGCCAGACAAGGGUAUUGAUAUUGUGAUUUUCCAUGAUCCUCAGCUCUGAUGGGUAAUAACUCAUAUUUGAAGACAACACCAAUUAUAUCAAGAUGUGCUACAAGCCCCUCUAAACAUAAUAUUACCCCUCUAAGCAUAAUAAAAUAUUGCUCUUAUUUGACAAGCAGUAUUUUACUUGCUAAAUAAUUUCUUAAUUUUGUGGCAGUUAGGAAACUUGAUGGUCAUUGCUUCUAGGUGACUCUCCUCUGUUUUUUUUUUUUUUUUUUUCCAGAAACAAAAAUGGCUCUUAGUAAUAAUUGGAAAAAUAUAUAUUUCUAUCAUUAAAAAAUCUUUAUUUUUUAUUGUUAAGGCCAAAUAUUCAAUUGUUUUACCAAAAUUUCAUUUGCCUAAAAUGUGUGUCCAAAAAGAAAGUGUUUAAAUUUUUGACUAUUCUAGUUAUUAUUUAUAUGAUUUAAGAAAGUAACUUAACCUUUGGCGUUUCAGUUUCCUUACACGUAGCAUGCAAUAAUACUGCCCCAUUAAAAAAGAUGAAAUACAAAAAUAUGUGUAGAACAUCUGUAUUAAUUAGAAGCAGACUUCUAGGUGGCAGGAACAAAGAGAUUUUAACAUACAGUGGCUUGAACAAAUAUAAGUUUCUUCCUUCUUCAUGUCGCAGCCUGGGUGGUGACCCCUGGGUACCUAAGGCUGGGAGGACCAACAAGGCCCCGUCAGAACCGGCGCCCACCAUGGAUACCACCACAGACUACAAAGAUAAGGGACACUACUUGGUGACCAGAGGGUCUGGAGAAGGGCAUCAGGGGCCCGCAGGACCCGCAGGACCCGCAGGGACCUCUGUCUGCCCUGCAGCCACCAGGGUCCUCAGAGAAGUGAUGGCUUCAGUCCUGGCAUCGUCUCCUGGGCUUGUGGACUCCCGGCUGCUCUGCCCGGGUCAUCUCUCAUCUCAGAGCACCAGUUGCCCUUUUUUGUAGCAACCAUUAUAAUUUGAAUAAGUAUUUGUUCACGUUUUUCCUUCCAUAAGGGUGCAGUCUGUGCCUCCUUAUGGAAGGAAGGGGACUUUCGAUAUUGUGAAAAUCACAUUUGAGGUUGUACUGGCGGCGCCCGGUGUGUGCGCAUGCGCCAGCACACACUGGGAGGGGUGUGCGCAUGUGCGUAAGAAUCGCUAAGCGAGCCUGUGCGGGAAAUGAUUCAUUCAGCCAGGCCGAAGGGUGCCGGCUCUGGGAAUUAGGUUGCUGGAAGAUUCUCGAAGGGUGUCUUUGGCCUGAUGGGAUUUAUUAAUAAUGACUCGGGGUUGCCACUGCUGUCUCAGAACAGGCAUCUGUCAACUCGGAGUGUGUGGGUUUGCAGGGUAAGGCUUCCAUUUCCCCCAGAGGCUGUGGGACUUCCCGGCUCUAAGGAGGUGUUACAGAUGGUGCUGCAGCUGAAGAGUCGUGAAGUGUCACACCGGUUACCUUGGGCCAGGACUAGACCCAAAGAUGGUGGAACCACAGGGGUCACCUAAGUUCCUACUGCAGUGAAGGGAAGAUAAACCCAUUUCAGGGGAGCUGGUUUGACUUAUUUUGCUUUUGAGGUGAUGCUGAAGUGACAAUGUCCUUGCAGCAUGACCUGCAAUAAUAGAAUCUGAGAAUCAGGUCUAGGGGUGUGGACAGAGCCUCUCUGAGGUUCAGAGAGUUCAGGACCACUGCCAAUUCCAUUGAGCUGAUUGGCAUAUCAAAAAAUAAAAAAUUGUAAAAACAGGCUUAUAAAUUGUAGCUUUUUAAGAACAUUUUUACAUUUAUCAAGAAAACUUAUUUAGAACACACAAACAAUUCACCUAUUUUUUAUCAAGUUUAUUAUAAAGUUUCUAAAACAUAUUUCAGCAUAGAGGAUUAAGUUGUACAGUUCUGGAGUGGGGUAUCCAUAGAGUGAUCAUUUGUCUCUCUCUGCCCGGGACAGUCCUGGUUGUCACCUAUUAUCCCAGCAUAAUUAUUAUUAACACUCAAAAUGUGUCCCAGUUUGGAUGAUAAAUGUGUCCUAGGGUAUCCUAGGAAACAUGUUUAAACCUGUAUGCUGAAUGCUUUUCCUACACUCUCCAAAGUGGCUCUGUAACCCUACAGAGAGCCUAGUUAGAGAAUCCUCAGAAGUGUCGAUUGCAGGCCUAGUGGGAGUGGGCCUUGGGAUUGAACACAACAGUCAUCCACAUGGAAUGCCACCAACCCAAAUCUGUUACAAUGGAAUCCAGAGUUUCCCUGCCUCAGUGCGUGAACCGACUUCAUCCAAUACUUAACUUGUUUAACUUGUUGAAGCUUUGUAAACAUUGGGAUUCAUAGUGCCUGUGUGACACAUGGCAUUCCCAGUGACAGCCUUAACUGCAGGGCCCUGUUAAGCCAGGUUCCCCACCCAGAUUCUGCCAUUUCCUGUGAUCACCAGGGACUUGUGUUAUCUCUCUACCCCUUUCUUUAUCACUUGCAUCUUGUGGAAGAGUAGUAAUUCUUACUUCACUGGUCUGGUUGCAUUAAAUGAGGUUUGUGCAAUGUGCCUCAGGCAUAUUAUGCAGGAGGCACCAACAGUCCAUUUCUUCUUUACAAUGUGUGUGAAAUACUUAUGUUUUUAGUGUAUCCCAUUGCGAUUUGUAGGACAGAGAGAGAAGACACUGGGGCUAUUUCACAUUUUUGAGUGUGAAGUCCUUCGAAGCUUAGGGACCCAGUUAAACCAGAAGCUGCAUUUGCCAGCAAAUGAUAACGCCUGGGGUCCAUCUCUGCUCCUUAUAAACGCUGCAUAAAUCUGAAAAUCUCCACCACUGGAAAGAGAUUUAAUAUUUAAAGAAUUCUUCCUGCCCUUUCCCCAUCACGCAUAGCUGCCCAGGCUGCCCAGAGAUGCUCUGUUCUUCCUCUGAAACACAUUGUAAACACUGCAACCCUUUCGCUUAAGCAGAGGCAUCAUUUCCUUCCGGAAUCCUUGCCUUGCCUCGGAGAUGGAUCUCUACAAGUACUAUUGAGACUCUUCUUCCACACGUCUGUCUUUCUCCUAUUAUGGCACGUGUACAUCUUAAAUUAUUGAAAUGGCUUAC